rnacentral:rRNA from 1 species
UACUUGUACCGACUGGAUGAGCAGCGAACGGGUGAGUAACGCGUGGGGAAUCUGCCUUUGAGCGGGGGACAACAUUUGGAAACGAAUGCUAAUACCGCAUAAAAACUUUAAACACAAGUUUUAAGUUUGAAAGAUGCAAUUGCAUCACUCAAAGAUGAUCCCGCGUUGUAUUAGCUAGUUGGUGAGGUAAAGGCUCACCAAGGCGAUGAUACAUAGCCGACCUGAGAGGGUGAUCGGCCACAUUGGGACUGAGACACGGCCCAAACUCCUACGGGAGGCAGCAGUAGGGAAUCUUCGGCAAUGGACGAAAGUCUGACCGAGCAACGCCGCGUGAGUGAAGAAGGUUUUCGGAUCGUAAAACUCUGUUGGUAGAGAAGAACGUUGGUGAGAGUGGAAAGCUCAUCAAGUGACGGUAACUACCCAGAAAGGGACGGCUAACUACGUGCCAGCAGCCGCGGUAAUACGUAGGUCCCGAGCGUUGUCCGGAUUUAUUGGGCGUAAAGCGAGCGCAGGUGGUUUAUUAAGUCUGGUGUAAAAGGCAGUGGCUCAACCAUUGUAUGCAUUGGAAACUGGUAGACUUGAGUGCAGGAGAGGAGAGUGGAAUUCCAUGUGUAGCGGUGA